AGCGCGGGUGCGAGUCGGAGGGUGCAAGCCCGUGGGCGAAGUGAAAGCGAGUUUAAAAACGAGCAGUUUGGGGCGGCAUAAGAUCGUUGAUCUUAAGACCGACCCAGAGCAGUUGCGCUGGGACCCGAAAGAUGGUGAACUAUGCCGGAGUAGGGCAAAGCCAGAGGAAACUCUGGUGGAGGCUCGUAGCGGUGCUGACGUGCAAAUCGCUCGUCGAACUUGGGUAUAGGGGCGAAAGACUAAUCGAACCAUCUAGUAGCUGGUUCCCUCCGAAGUUUCUCUCAGGAUAGCGGGCCGACAAGUUGUUUUGUGCGGUAAAGCGAAUGAUUAGCGCAUUCGGGGGCGUUUAGCCUUCGGGCGAUUCUCAAACUUUCAAUGCGCAAGGGUGCCGCUGCUUAAUUGAGCGGUACCGGUAAAAACGUCGGCCCUGUGGGCCACUUUUGGUAAGCAGAACUGGCGAUACGGGAUGAACCGUAAGCAAGGUUAAGGCGCCAAACUGCCCGCUUAUAGACCCCACAAAAGGUGUUGAUUCAUCGAGACAGCAGGACGGUGGCCAUGGAAGUCGGAAUCCGCCAAGGAGUGUGUAACAACUCACCUGCCGAAUGAAUUAGCCCUGAAAAUGGAUGGCGCUGAAGCGGGCGGCCGACACCUUGCCGUCUGAACAAGAAUUUCAGAUGAGUAGGAGGGCGUGGCGGCCGUGUCGAAGCAUGCGUGCAGACGCUUGUGAAACGGCCGCUAGUGCAGAUCUUGGUGGUAGUAGCAAGUAUUCAAGCGAGAUCCUUGAAGGGCGAAGUGGGGAAGGGUUUCACGCGAACAUUGAUUGGGCGUGAGUGAGUCGUUCCUAAGCCGAGUGGCAAUUGCUAAUUAACGGCGAAAGGGAAGCGGGUUGACAUUCCCGCACACGGAUGUGGAGGCGGCGACGCAUUAUUGGGGCGAACACGCUGGCGAUGGCGCUGGGCAGAGUUGUCUUUUCUGUUUGACCGCUUGCGCACGCAGUGUGGAAUCCUCUUAUAGGGAGAAACACGCGUGUACGGGCAGAGCGCUGGGGCUUUUCCAGCGUCCAGCUCGCCAUCGACGGCCCUUGAAACUUUGCCUGCUG
rnacentral:rRNA from 1 species